AGUGAACGCUGGCGGUAGGCCUAACACAUGCAAGUCGAGCGGCAGCACAGUAAGAGCUUGCUCUUACGGGUGGCGAGUGGCGGACGGGUGAGGAAUACAUCGGAAUCUACUUUUUCGUGGGGGAUAACGUAGGGAAACUUACGCUAAUACCGCAUACGACCUACGGGUGAAAGCAGGGGAUCUUCGGACCUUGCGCGAUUGAAUGAGCCGAUGUCGGAUUAGCUAGUUGGCGGGGUAAGGGCCCGCCAAGGCGACGAUCCGUAGCUGGUCUGAGAGGAUGAUCAGCCACACUGGAACUGAGACACGGUCCAGACUCCUACGGGAGGCAGCAGUGGGGAAUAUUGGACAAAGGGCGCAAGCCUGAUCCAGCCAUACCGCGUGGGUGAAGAAGGCCUUCGGGUUGUAAAGCCCUUUUGUUGGGAAAGAAAAGCAGCAGGUUAAUACCCCGCUGUUCUGACGGUACCCAAAGAAUAAGCACCGGCUAACUUCGUG
rnacentral:rRNA from 1 species